rnacentral:rRNA from 1 species
UACAGAGGGGGCGAGCGUUGUUCGGAAUUACUGGGCGUAAAGGGCGCGUAGGCGGCCCGCUAAGUCGAACGUGAAAUCCCCAGGCUCAACCUGGGAACUGCGUCCGAUACUGGAAGGCUUGAAUCCGGGAGAGGGAUGUGGAAUUCCAGGUGUAGCGGUGAAAUGCGUAGAUAUCUGGAGGAACACCGGUGGCGAAGGCGACAUCCUGGACCGGUAUUGACGCUGAGGCGCGAAAGCCAGGGGAGCAAACGGG